UAGGGUGAGUUGCAUGCCCUCUUCUCUGUAUACGCCCUUAGCGUACUAAAAUUAACCAGCCAGUUUUCAAAACUCAAAUUUAAUAUUAUCACCCGGCGGUCAGGUAAGACCGUUCACUUCAAUCACGCGAGAUGUGUACACGCGAGAUGUGUAUUUACACGUCAUACUUGUUUUAUCUGCACUGUUGAAGAUCGGCGUUGCGCUAUAUAAUUAUAUCAAGUCGGAUGGCGGAUGGCAAAGUUUUAAUGCAGGAAGAAGUUUAAGAUAAGGGAUAAAUGAAGGGGGAAGGGGGGAACAAUAAUCGAUGAUUUUGUGUAUGUGUAUGAAUUUGAGUGGUGACGUCGUAGCUAUUUUUUCUGUAGUUGGAGUGACUGCUGUCCCUUCAUCAUACUAGUAUAGAGACGAGACGACGAGUUGCAAAUUUUUGGAGGUGGGGCCUGGACCCCCCCCUAACCUUUUCGUAUGAACCGUUAAUUAUAAUAGGCGCCGUCCACACACUAUCUUAUCUUUUUUAGACACAUACUAGUUAACCGAAUAGCCGCGGUCAUAGCGAACCUGCAGGUUGCAAACUAGUCAAGUCUCUGAGUUUUGAACGGAGCUCACAAGUAAAGGCCAAUGCGCAUUCAAACUGAAUUGAGUGUGUCCACACCCACACCCACACCCAAUGUGCCACAGGAACGACACAGGAACGACAGGAACGACACACUCAACGCUCAAUGCAAGCAUAAACUUGUAGCUGUACCCAUCUAGCCAGUACACUAUCACAAGCAUGUAAGUUGAGAAAGAUUUAACACCACAAAAUAACAGGUCCAUGAACAGAAUUCAUUUUAAAAAAUCAAGCCAUUGUUCUUGAGGUAUAUAGUUUUUAAACAUCUGUUUUAAAUGAUUCAACUUCGUAUCUUGGAGUGUUCGUAUCCUUCCUAGAUCGACAUAGUUCUAGUUCACGCCUGGAAAGCAAUUAAACUCGGGAGUAAUGGUUGAUUGCUUUGGGGCUCCCGCUGUGUGAAUCCUUUCCAGCAUUUCCAUGACGCUGAUGAGGAUAACGUACGUCAACCAUUGAAGUAUUAGGUAUAGUUUUCCACCAUUUCAUAAAGGAAAGGUCACAGUCACAUCCUUGUUAUGCUCCUUGUGGCAUAACAACACAUUCACUGAGGCGUUCUUCCUCCAAGGCGUUCUUCCUCCACUUCUUCCUCCACUUCUUCUUCCUCCACUUCGGAUUUUGUAAUUGAACGAACAGGCUCAUUACUCAAUCUCUUCUUAAUAGAUCUUUGCCUGGAUAGACGCUGGUGAGAAAUUCCCAGGGCAUGGUGUAUGCAGCCAGAGCAGAAGUAAAAGUUACCUAGUGCGUCAAAUACAUUAUUUCGAAGCCAUUCGUUUUGUUUCACAAGAUCUCGAUAUUGCUGACUUUCGGGUCGCUUUGGAUGGGGAUUGAUGGUCUUUCGUCUUUCGUCGCUUAAGUUCAGAUCCUUGCCUCUUCAUCCUCUUAACCUCUUCAUCCUCUUAAAAGUAUCAUAAUACUUACUAAGUAUGGGGGCACAACUCUUGCAUACUUUAGCAUUCCAGUCACUAGGCUGAAAGUCACUUGGACCAGGUAGGUCAUCAGUUUCCUCAAAGGAGGACUGAAGUUCAGAAGUGGUAUGAUUUUCUUGCCUCCCCUCUUAAGUACAAUUCUUUUCUCUUAGCUCUUCUCUCCUUUCUGGAACCAGGAGAAGGUCCACUGGAUUGCCUGACUUCAUCUGAGUCAUUUUGGCUAGAGGUAUCUUCAUUCUCACUCGAUCCAGAGGGGGGACCCUCUCUAGCUCUUUUUCUAGCAGCCAUAUUCUUUAAAAUAGCUGUUUUUGACACGAGGAGCUUCCAGAAGCCUUACUCUGUCCACCUGUGACGUUUAGGGAGUCACCUGAGCUACAGUACAGUAUUGAAGAUAUAAUGGAAGUAUUCAGCAUGCUUUUUACCAGAUUUUCAAUUGCGUUUUUUUCAAUUUAUGUGAACGUGUAUAAGCUUCCAUUUUUACUCUAUGCGCUCACAUGUAGCUUCAUUGCCUACACUGAGGCAUCAUCACCCUUUCAGUAACAUUCAUUUUUUUUUCUCAGGUCGCGUUGAAGGACGCUUUGAAGGACUGCGACUGCCUUUGCUUGUUGACAGUCUCCCUGGGUACACCAUCAACCUAUGUAGAAAAUAAUCGAACUUUCGAUGAAUUUCCACAAUGGCAGCUGUCUAUUAUUGGCAGCCGUCGAAAGCAAGCUUCCUAACUCUUCCACAACGUUCCCUGGAGUAUGCUUACUGUAGCCGGCUGGCCUGGAGCUGAAAAGAUUCCUUUAUUAUGCACUGCCUUUUGUAUUUGUCAGCCAUUUAUUUUAUUUUUUUGUUUUUUGUUUCUGCUUCUGGUAAAAAAGAAAAACUACCAAGAAUGUAUUUUGUGUAUAUUUUUUAGUGUUCAGUGUGUAGUGAAUAGGUUCUGAGCGAUUUUGCGCAAGAGAAAAAAACAGCUCGUUACUAAGGCUUGAAUGAAAAUUUAGGGGUCAAAGGUCGCGCCCACGGCAGCUCUUUUUAUACUCAACUCGCUCAGAGUUCCGGAAGUUGCUAAUCCGGUAAUUAAAGCCAACAUGCUCGUUUUAAAAAAUCUGGAGGAAUUCAAGACUGCUCAUCUGUUUUCUCGGGAUCAAGGUUGAUCAAAAAAGACUGGUCAACCAAGAUGCCAGAUUCACAGCACUGCAUGGUUCAUAUGGUGUUGCAUUGCUACUGCUAUCGAGAUGUCAGUCGUGAAACCUUUUUUUAGUUAACACUUAGGAAUGUUAGUCCCUGCACGGCACUAUACGAUCUGAGAUGCUUGACAGAGUUUAAGCAAUCUCCACACAACAGCAAUCUCCACACAACAGAUUGGAAGCUCUACAUUUAACAAUGCAAAACAACAAAACAACAAUGCAGAACAACAAUGCAGAACAACAAUAACGAAUGUCAUUACAAGCAUUCAGGUUCGAGGCUCGAUAUUCUUGACGUUGGUUCGUGGUCACGAAACUUCAAGAAUCGGCAUGUGCACAGGACAGCCUGUGGAAAUGGUGGAGAAGGUUGACCCUGAUAAAUAUACUAUCUACAUUAUCUACAUCAUUAUCUACAUUAACCCUUUCCCCGCUGAAGCCGUCUUUUUCCGGCCGCACUACUGACUAUUUUCAAAAAAUUGUUGUCCCCGCUGUGUUGUAGCUAUGCAAACACUGUAGGUACCAGCACAUGCACAUUGAGCUGCUCUUUCACAUGGUAUAUUUAAUAUCUUGCCUCGAGGUACGCUUCGUGCAGUAUUGCUGAAAGAAAAGUGACCGCACCUGACUAAUCUUCAAUUUUAGUACAACCUCAGUGAGGUUCUAGGGCAGCUAGACAGUACAAUGUACCAUUGACAAUAUAUUUCAGGUUGUGUAUGCAGGACUCCUGUAAUAAUUGCUUAAUUGACGGCAUAUAGUGGUCUGUGCCAUAAUGAAAAAAGAAUCUUCCCCCUUCCACCUCGCCAAAAUGAGACUGAACAUGUAAACACAUGUUCCUGACAUGUACAUAUGUUACACUGGACAAUUCGACCUACAGGAGCUCGAGUUGGGUUUCACCAUAAUUAUACAAUGACAAGACUGUCCGUUGUUAACUUAACAUUACUACGCAGCCUUUUACAAUCGAACAAGAACGUAAUAAUUUUUAUAAGUUGUCUUUUAACCAUCCUUUUCAUGCAUGCACUUGUCAAUACAUAAUUAUCUCUGUCAACCUGCAUGAUUGUAGAUCUAUAUAAUUAUCAUAAUUACUGUAAAUACAAUGAUAUACAACCAAGCCACUAGCUCUAGCUUAUAUUUACAUGUCUGUACCAGAUUAUGUACAAUGCUGAAUCACAACUGUACAGCUUCCGCACAUACCCAGAUGAAAUGUACAAGUUCAAUUGCACACAACUGUACGGACUUGUACACGGACACGGAACAGAUCAGGACUUUUUGGUUGUGUAUUUAGACUACUCCAUCAAUUAGACUACUCCAUCAAGAACAAGAACCCACUAUAGGAGGUACCUGAGGGAUGCUUCAGCCCUCUUACCUCUUACGCUAUAAGAAGUUAGCAAGCAAUAAGUCAGUGCCAAACCCUGCCAGCACUCUCCACGCCCACAUCUUCACCAGCACUCUCCACACCCUCGAUCGUCUUCACCGCCCUCGUCUUCACCACUCUCCACGCCUUCAAAACUUCUGUAUCCAGGUGCAAAGCCAUCUGUACGUCCUCAUAUACUGCAAUAGGAGCACUUCUAACUCUAUUGAUAUUCAUCUCCCCGAGCAAAAUCUAAUACCUCCCACCCUCUACAAAUUGAAAAGGUUUUUCGAAAGACAAACUCCUGUUCACAGCCAUAAGAAAACAUGACGAACUCCAUUCACCCACUGCCGACUUAGUGCAUUUGAACAUUUCAAAAUCUGUGGAGUUCAAAAAACUCUAAUUCACUCAUUCAACUGCCUGAACUAUCAACUGACGACGAAAAAAACUUGAGUGAUGUUUGGGAUGGAGCUGUAUUACGUGAGGGAUCUCUGGUGGGGAUCGUCUUGCCCGUGUCCCUAUCUUUAAGUCGUUAACUGUCAGUAUGUGGCCAGUGUUCUUGGUGAUCCUUAACCUCCCAGCUUAACCUCCCAGCUAUAAUUAGAACAAAUGCUGAAAAUGUGAUAUUGUCGGCAAUUUGGAUAGGUCCCUCAAAGCCGAACCUAAAUAAUAUGUGACUUUAUAACAUUGUUUGUGUACAUAAUUGUGAAUUUUUGUUAAGUUUGUUACAAGUGUUUUCAAUACGAUUUUUUAAACAAAAUAGGUUGAUAAUAAUCUAUAAUAGCUAAUACACGUCUACCGUCAAAGACAGUUAAGAUCACCAGUCCGUAGACCCCACCAACAGAACGGCGGUAUGCUCACCUCAAACUGAUAGACUGGUCACAUACGAUAGCCCUAGCCAGACUGGUCAACAAUAAACAAGACACUCCCGAGGUGCGAGUUGUGCGACCACACGACAGGCUACCCUAGAAUUCCGUGGGACAACCUGUACGUAUCCUUACACGAUCGGGUUUCAGUAUGGGGCUGGGGCACCUCUCCACACACCCUGAAGUUCCCCAAUCCAACUCAAUCGUGAUGGUCGUACGUACAGCCAAUGCUAGAUCUUCGCACCUCUCACACAAACAGUGCCUGGAGAUCCUGGAUACUUCUAGGAAUCGAGGAAUCGAAAUGGAUACAGAGGUCGGUCACCACAAUUACUCAAUGGGGGACUCUUGAUGCAUUUCCGUCUGAACAAUGAUUUCAGGUCAGGGCUCCCACCCAGGUUCAGUUGUGCAAACACAACCUGCUCCUUCACUACGUAGCCUCCUUUACUGGCCUUCAAGCGAAAAGAAGGCCUGCUACUGACUGCGUGAAUAUUUUCCCCUGUACAACUUCAACAAAGAAUACAAAUUCAUUACUGCGCAUGCAGAUUUGUAUCAGUCCAUGUGGUAGGUAAGCAUUAACCAAUUUCAUGGCUUCCAACAUAGUGCAUGUUUGUAGCAAGGUUUUGCAGCAAUGGAAUUGUACCUAAAAAUUCUGUAAAUUUGUUCCAGGAAGAAUGUCUGAUGAUGGUCAUCCAUGUGAUGGUCACUGCUGCAGGCCUUGUAUGCGGAAGUUGUAGCUAUGAGAGUAGGGGUAGAGAAUGCCUUCGGUCAUCCCCUGUUAGCUCAACGCGCACGCUGCAGGGUGCGAGAAAGAGGGGCAGUGGCCCAGACGUGUGUCUCCUUUCACAUCGAAUGCACAGCCUUUGUCAAAGCGAUCUAUGGGACUUGCUUUUGGGCCUUGUGAGACACUUCUGUGUAUUAUCAGUUGUUAUUUUCCUUUAGUGAGUGAUAAUGAGUCCAUCACAGUUCCUGAUUUCCCACCAGUCAACACAGUCCACUCUGCAGCUGGUAAUACACAUACAUUAAUUAAAAACCCAAUUUUCAUCUGACAAUUUUAAUAGGUACUGAGAAUUGACCCUCCAACAAGAACUGUCGAGGUACAUUUAGAUGUGUAAAUAAUAAUUAAUGCUGAACUACAUAUAGAUUACUGUCAGCUCAGGAACGCCAGUCACCAAGGUCGUUGACAGUAAGGUUGGACAAGUACUGGCAGGUGGUCACCUUCCUAGAGCUGUGUCUGCAUUUGCAUUGAGAGAGUUGCUAGUACAGAAGUGUCGGAAGUCUGGUGAUGCCCCUUCUCAGUAGAAGUGUAUCGACGAGGUAAAAGUGAAGGCUGCUCUACUUCCGUGUUACCAGGUCCGACCACAGGAACAAGCCCAAGAAAGGCGCCAAACACCACCCCGGUAUCUGUAUGGCCCUCAGUGUGUAUGGCCCUCAGUGUGUUGCUUAAGGAACGGAAUAGAGAAAUGAGUGGACUGCAGUACAUGUAUGUACAUCGCUAUAAGACAUACUUCCCAAAUACAUUAAUAUUAACAGCCAGUAAUUAUCUUAACAUUUACAGGCAGGCUUAAUCACCUGAACGUAACACUCAGUUACACAGCUGUACUAGGACUCAGCAGCACAGGGUCCCCAUUAAGAAGUGGAUCGAUGAUGGUUUGUCCUUCAAGUUUGUGGGAGACAAGAGGCGAGGAGGCGAGGAGUGCCAGGAGUGAUCACCACGGUCAACUGAAACACAUGUAUAGUCUCCUUGCGGUGAAGUCUCGACUCGAGUGCAGGGUCCUUCCCCACCAGCACCAUCAACCAGACCAUUAAGAGCAACCUUGUGGUGCUUGUUAGUCGUGUGUUGUGUGACCACAUGAAGGUUUUCAAGUCACAGAAAGGUUCAGUAGCCAAGCACAUCCCACAUCCACACAGUACCGAAAUGGCUACAAAAUCUGACGUUGUUGUGUGCGAUGUGCUGCACAAGAACGAGAACAAGCGAUAUCUUGGAAAGGACUUUAAGCACACUGUAGCAUGAUCUGUUGACAGUGGAGGACAGCAGGGAGCGAGGAGACAUCUUGCACUUGCAGAUGCUGAUACACCCGAGGAAGGAUUGGAUCGUCUCGAGCCAGUUGCGGAGGAUUAUGAAUCAAUCUGUGAUCUAGAAUAAUUAUGUGGCAUACUCUAAUUAAUGCCCUUGAGUACAAUGUAACAAAAAACAUAAUUCAGUAUGUAUGUACGUACACGUACAUGUACUGUGAUAACGUGUAUAAAUUAAUUAUACAAGUAGGUAUACAUGAAAGCGUUCAAGUCAUUAACAUGACUGUACAAUUAAUGUACAUGCAUGUGUAUUUACCUUUUCUUUAACAGAGUGUGUUUUCAAGAUCAGCUCUGUUGAUUUCGCAACUCUCAGCCAUCUAUUCCUGAGAUCCUAACCUGAGAUCCUAAGAAAGACAUGCAUGCUUCUUUGAUGUCUGUGUUGCCUUUGAUGUCUGUGUUGCAGCAGACAUCAUCCUUGGAAUAGACAUGGACAGUGAGCUCCCUCCAACGGCCUCCAAGGUGGUUGACCGGUUCGAUUGCCUGUAGAGGACAGCAACAACCGAGUCCACAACUAUAGUCGGGUCCUGUGCCAUGUAGCGUCCCUAGCCAUGGAGUUCACGGACGCUUGGAGUGAAGGUGAUGGUGCCGGGAGACGAACCAAGUACGCACUGGAGGCUCUCAGGAUUCAGGUGCAGUUGGCUACUCUCCCGAGAUUCGUGAAUACACAUGGCGGUAAUGGUCGGAAUAUCCCAUGUGAUUUACACAAUGAGCAUGUGAACAUGGGGGCUAGUACAAGAUCGGCAAGAAGUGUCACUACCAUUGCUCACCUGGUCGAUUCUCAGGUAGGGAUGCACCCAGAAUCAUUGGCCCACAGGCAGACAUCAAAUCGAUCGUCCAACCAGAAGAUUUUGGAAGUCCAGACUGAGCAUUCAAGAAGGAAUGGAUCGUCAGCACAGAGCUCGGGCUAGAUAGAAUGUCGAUGAAUUUGACUCUUGAGUUGCGGGUGCAUGUGGGCUACUGGCGAAGCACCUUAAAAAAAACGAGAUGAAGGCCGUACCGGUCUUGGAAACCGGCCUAAUAUACCAUGUAUUCGAGGGUAAAACUUUCGCUGUACCGCAAACAUUUACCUACAGCACGAACGCAUACUCGAGAUGUAAGAGGUAAACAAUAAUUAAUGCCAGGAGGGUUACCCCUCAGCCCUGUGUAUAUGUACACCAUACCACCAUAACAAUAACUUACUUUUAUGUUUUGGAGAACAUUCCUCAGUAUCUUGAGUCCAGACAGAGCGUCACAGCUGAUUAUUACCACCAAGUCAACUGCACGCACAAACUGAAUGAUGGAUUGUCAGCAAAUUAAAAAUUAAUGAUUAGGCUGGUUUCCAAGACACCAUGAGGUACAGCCUUCAUCUCGUUUUUUUAAGGUGCUUCGCCAGUACUAAGAUUUGUCGGAGGUACUUUCUUCUCGAUUACAGUAUAAAUAAUUAUACUGAGUUGCGAUUGUCCGAUUCAAACACAUGUAACCUUAGGGAAUGAUAGCUUUGCAGGUGUCGCAACAUCAUCAAAGUAAUCGAGAAGAAAGUCCGACAAAUCUUAGCAUUCUCCACAUACCGUCUCACAGUCGCAACUUCUCUCAUCUUGUGAUCGUGGUCCUUCACUGUGGAACAUCAGACGGCAUAGUGGAAGUUGACGGCUCUCCAAAGUUGACGGCUCUCCACCUCUACACCAUAGUGGAUCGUCUGAUUGACGCCAACACAAUCGAUUCCCAUGCCUAGAGCCAUCGUAGCAAACACAACACGAACAACGCCAUCAACAUUCGUCAAGCUGGUUAUUAUGACAUCCUUGUUGUCCAAACAAUUUGAAGUCACUUAACUUUGGAGCCCAAAGUGAGAGGCAUACAAAUUGGCACACAUGUCAUGUGUGCCAAGAGAGCGACAGUAAACAAUCAGUCGUUUGGCCUUCAGUCGUUUGGCCUUCACCGAAAAAUCAUCCUCGAGAUUACUGGACCGUUGCUAGGCGACGAUACAACAUGUUCAGAGAUUUGAUGACAAUGGAUCGAACUGCAUCAGUAACAGUUGCAGUGAGAGCAAGCACAGGGACACCAAACGGAACAAAGGCACGUAGCUCAUGAAUACGGGCGUACGUUGGUCGAAAGUUGUCACUCCACUCUAACUAUAACACAAUGUGCUGCCACAGCAACAACUGUAUCACAUAAAGGUAUGGCCUCUGGACAACUAUAAAGGAAGCGAUACCUGCGAUACCUGCCAGUCUUGAGGUCUCUUUCAUUGGCAAGGUACUUCUUGUCGAGUUUCCACCAGCAGACACACCACUACUCUGGAGACCUGAUCAACAAUCAGGGACACAAGGGGGGACACAACUAUAACCACACUCAACUCAGCUUCAGGAGCCUACCAAGUUUAUGGUCAAACAAAAACGGUAGAAGCUGGUAACAGCCAUAGCCUGUAGGGAACCACACAAAACAGACCUUCAACACCUCGACUUGUUUACUCUUCAGCACAACAUCAUCACGAGCUUUUGCAUACUGCACAGCAGCAGCAAAGUUAGUUCUAUCUAGCUCUGUCUCCAUUGCCACUUGACUUAUAAGGGGGAAAUUAUAAACGGAACAGCUACUUACAUUACUGUUAUAAAAAAUGUGUUCCACCACCUCUGAAUACCACGAACAGAGAACCCCAACAUUUUCGUUCGUCCGGGAUCUUUGCCAUUUACUAAUAUGCCAUCGAAUGAUACCUAUAAUACUAACUUGAUCACUGUCCGUAAAAUCUGAUGUAUCACUUAAUCUUGUUCUCUUUGAUGCUUUAUUUUUAUGUCCACUGUGACCUCUCUUUCCAAGUGAUUGGUGAUUGUUUCUUAGCACAUAGCUCACUAACAAACUGCUGUAUUCUAAUCCUGUGCCCAGGUGGAAACUUCUUGCUUUUCGUUAAAAGGUCAGGGUGUUCGUUCAUCAGAGAUAAAUUGUUCUAUUUGUUCAAUCGAAUUUCCCGGCUCAAAAUUGUAUCAAAUCCGUACCAAAUCCUGCAGUUGUAAAGCACUUACUAUGUACGGGGGAAGAGCAUCCUUCAUUAAUUGCUGUGCCUCCUUUUCAGCUUCGGAAAAUGAAGAUUCCUACAAGUAACAAAAAUGUGUAUGCUUGACAAAGCCAGGAAUCUAGCUAGUUUAGGCUAGAGCUUCAGACAUCUUCUUAAAGUGGAAGCAGCUUGAGAUCUGUGAGUAUUCAUAUAUAUGAUUACACAACAUUAUAACAACAUUUUUAUGGCGGCAUCGAGGGCUACCAAAGCCUCGACCAGCUCACCUUGAAGGACUUCAGGGUGAGUUUCAGUAGCUUUUUGCCUCUCCUUUGCCUCGUGGAGCUAGAAGUACACGUGACAAUUCCGGAUCUAAUCAAGGCCUCUUGAGAGGCUAUUCAAUAAAGGGUGUGGUCACAAUCAUACCCACGCCCCUUACCCUUAAAAAGGCGUGGUUUAUAGCCUCGCUCAAGAUUUCAUUCGAGAUUUCAUAGAAGAUUUCAGAUUUCUAUGCUUGAUUAGUAAAACCUACAUAGGAUUGGCAGUGGGUUUGCCCGUGUUUAGCAAAAUUUCACUUAUUUUGACUCAUGUUCAAACUGUUCUAUCUCUGCAGGGAGAGGCAAUCUCAAGAAUCUGGAUGAACAGAUAGUUUAUUUAGCCUUUUCUCUGUAUCUCUCAUUUUAUU